rnacentral:rRNA from 1 species
AGUGAACGCUGGCGGUAGGCCUAACACAUGCAAGUCGAACGGCAGCACAGUAAGAGCUUGCUCUUACGGGUGGCGAGUGGCGGACGGGUGAGGAAUACAUCGGAAUCUACUUUUUCGUGGGGGAUAACGUAGGGAAACUUACGCUAAUACCGCAUACGACCUACGGGUGAAAGCAGGGGAUCUUCGGACCUUGCGCGUUUGAAUGAGCCGAUGUCGGAUUAGCUAGUUGGCGGGGUAAAGGCCCACCAAGGCGACGAUCCGUAGCUGGUCUGAGAGGAUGAUCAGCCACACUGGAACUGAGACACGGUCCAGACUCCUACGGGAGGCAGCAGUGGGGAAUAUUGGACAAUGGGCGCAAGCCUGAUCCAGCCAUACCGCGUGGGUGAAGAAGGCCUUCGGGUUGUAAAGCCCUUUUGUUGGGAAAGAAAAGCGGCAGGUUAAUACCCCGCUGUUCUGACGGUACCCAAAGAAUAAGCACCGGCUAACUUCGUG